AAUACAUGCAAGUCGAACGGUCUUUCUAUGGAAGCUUGCUCCACUGAGAAGAUAGUGGCGAACGGGUGGAGUAACACGUGGGUAACCUGCCCAUAAGAGGGGGGAUAACAUCCGGAAACGGGUGCUAAUACCGCAUAGUUUUCUUGAUCGCAUGAUCGGGAAAGGAAAGACGGCCUUUGUGCUGUCGCUUAUGGAUGGACCCGCGGCGUAUUAGUUAGUUGGUGAGGUAACGGCUCACCAAGACGAUGAUACGUAGCCGACCUGAGAGGGUGAUCGGCCACAUUGGGACUGAGACACGGCCCAAACUCCUACGGGAGGCAGCAGUAGGGAAUCUUCCGCAAUGGACGAAAGUCUGACGGAGCAACGCCGCGUGAGUGAAGAAAAGGUUUUCGGAUCGUAAAACUCUGUUGUCAGAGAAGAACAAGUUGGAGAGUAACUGCUCCAGCCUUGACGGUAUCUGACCAGAAAGCCACGGCUAACUACGUGCCAGCCGCUGC
rnacentral:rRNA from 1 species